rnacentral:rRNA from 1 species
UACGAAGGGGGCUAGCGUUGUUCGGAAUUACUGGGCGUAAAGCGCACGUAGGCGGACUGUUAAGUCGGGGGUGAAAUCCUGGGGCUCAACCUCAGAAUUGCCUCCGAUACUGGCAGUCUCGAGUGCGGGAGAGGUGAGUGGAAUUCCCAGUGUGAGAGGUGAAAUUCGUAGAUAUUGGGAAGAACACCAGUGGCGAAGGCGGCUCACUGGCCCGUAACUGACGCUGAGGUGCGAAAGCGUGGGGAGCAAACAGG